rnacentral:rRNA from 1 species
UACAGGGGUGAGGCAACAGUUGCUCGGAAUUAUUGGGCGUAAAGCGCGCGUAGGCGGCAAUUUAAGUCGGAUGUGAAAGCCCUUGGCUCAACUGAGGAAGAGCACCCGAAAACUGAAUCGCUGGAGUACGAAAGAGGGUCGCGGAAUUCCCAGUGUAGAGGUGAAAUUCGUAGAUAUUGGGAGGAACACCGGCGGCGAAGGCGGCGACCUGGUUCGAUACUGACGCUGAGGCGCGAAAGCGUGGGGAGCAAACAGG